UACUAGUGUUUUAAACUAUAUACCAAGUCAUUGUACCAACACAUGCAAUUAGCAUCCUAUGUCUUUUUGUUUCUGUCAUUUAUUAGUUUUGUAGGACACAAAAGACCACGACGUUGAUGAUUACCAGGUUAUAAGUCAUGUCAUGAUCUUAUCUUUGGAGGAAAGAUCAAGACAGACCAGUGGCGGGGGAGGACAACGUAAAAGACAAAGGAGACAUGGAGUGAAGUGUACUGUGAAGUCUGUGAGUGCCAUUGGAGGGGUCAGGGGGGACCGAAAUGAUGAAAAAAUUGUUACUAUGCCCCUGACAAUGGAGCCUGCCUUCAGCACUCAGAACCCAAAUCACCGUAUUAUCUACAUCCCACUCUUUCUUUCUUUCUUGAAUUGUCUUGUAACCACCAGUGGCGGAGGUAUGAUCCAAAUCUAUGUGGGUCAAAACUAUGUAUAAAUAUAAAAUAUUGGAGGUUUCAUAAUUAACAAGGAGGUCAAAUUGCUAAAAGUAGACCAAUAAUGUUUGUCAAUUAUUAGUUUUGUAGGACACAAAGACCACGACGUUGAUGAUUAUGUGACUUUUACUUUUAUGGUAACUAUA